rnacentral:rRNA from 1 species
AUUGAACGCUGGCGGCAGGCCUAACACAUGCAAGUCGAGCGGAGCGGCGGACGGGUGAGUAAUGCCUAGGAAGCUGCCUGGUAGUGGGGGAUAACGUCCUGAAACGGGCGCUAAUACCGCAUACUAUCAGAUGAGCCUAGGUCGGAUGAGCUAGUAGGGGGGGUAAAUGCCUACCAAGGCGACGUGCCGUAACAGGUCGGAGAGGAUGAUCAGUCACACUGGAACUGAGACACGGUCCAGACACCUGCGGUAAGCAGCAGUGGGGAAUAUUGGACAAUGGGCGAAAGCCUGAUCCAGCAAUACCGCGUGUGUGCAGAAGGUCUUCGGAUUGUAAAGCACUUUAAGUUGGGAGGCGUUACCAAAAGAAUAAGCACCGGCUAACUACGUGCCAGCAGCCGCGGUAAUUC